UGCGUAGGCGGAUUAAUAAGUCAGUGGUGAAAUCUCUCGGCUCAACCGAGAAACUGCCAUUGAUACUGUUGAUCUUGAGUUCGGUUGAGGUAGGCGGAAUGUGUAAUGUAGCGGUGAAAUGCUUAGAUAUUACACAGAACACCAAUUGCGUAGGCAGCUUACUAGACCGACACUGACGCUGAGGCACGAAAGCGUGGGGAGCGAACAGGAUUAGAUACCCUGGUAGUCC
rnacentral:rRNA from 1 species